CAGGAUGAACGCUGGCGGCGUGCUUAAUACAUGCAAGUCGAACGAAGUUUUCUCGCCGAAGCUUGCUUCAUUGAGAAAACUUAGUGGCGGACGGGUGAGUAACGCGUGGGUAACCUGCCUUACACAGGGGGAUAACAGUUAGAAAUGACUGCUAAUACCGCAUAAGCGCACAGUAUCGCAUGAUACAGUGUGAAAAACUCCGGUGGUGUAAGAUGGACCCGCGUCUGAUUAGCUAGUUGGUGAGGUAACGGCCCACCAAGGCGACGAUCAGUAGCCGGCCUGAGAGGGUGAACGGCCACAUUGGGACUGAGACACGGCCCAAACUCCUACGGGAGGCAGCAGUAGGGAAUAUUGGACAAUGGGGGAAACCCUGAUUCCCAGCGACGCCGCGUGAGUGAAGAAGUAUUUCGGUACGUAAAGCUCUAUCAGCAGGGAAGAAAAUGACGGUACCUGACUAAGAAGCACCGGCUAAAUACGUGCCAGCCGCCGC
rnacentral:rRNA from 1 species